UUAAAUCUAGUCUCUAUAGUAAUGAAUAACUGGUCCCGAAAAUAGAAUUUAGUGGGUCAAAAGGCACCACUCCUCACUAAAUUAAAAUAUACUUGUCUUUCUUUUUGGGACAUAGUAAAAUCCCUAAACCCUAAUCUGCUCACCUUCAAGUUGCCCCACAUUGAAUACACCUCUUCUUCUUCAUCUCCAUCGACUAAAGUUGCUUCUUCCAACAUCGCCAACCUCAAAAUUCUUUGAUAACACAAAAUUAAUAAACCAAUGAAGCUAAUUUCCUUCUCGUCAUGAGUAACCCACCUUCAAGUGAUGCUCUUUCGAUUUGACAAAGAAGAUUACAGGUGGGCUCUGCAACAACUGUAAUAAUCAAGGAAAUGGGUUGUCCACUCAUUUUCAGGUUUCACAUCAAAGGUUUGGUGAACAAGUCAAUUAUAGUUCUCAUCUAAGGAGGGACGAAUACCCAUUAAAUAUUUGCAGUACUAGUUGUUCGCGCUGAGGUUCUAUUGUUCUUGUGAUUGGCUUUGGUUUUUGAAGGCCAGGUUUAAUGAUUUGAUGAAUUUACAAGUCUCCGACCAAAAGUGAAGAUGAGAUUAUCAUUAUGCCGAGACAGUUGGACAAUUUUUCAAAUUUCGUAUAGUAAAUGUAAUGACUAAUAUUGGGCUGUAGAAUGCUACAUUGCUACUGAUGGGAUGUUAAUCUGAUUUUUGUAACUGCUUAUAUAUAU